UGCAAAAAAUUAGGGAGCGCAAGUGUAGGAGUGGGUGGAAGGUGGGGAGAAAGAUGGUUACCUGUGAGAUAUCUUCGCAGCAUCUCGUCAGUACCUUGGUGGCAAUUGCGAGAUACAAGUAAAUAAAAAAAAGUGGUAAUAAAAAAGAAGUGAAAAACAAAAACAGUUUAAAACCAGCGGUAGGUGUAAAAAAAAAAUAUUUUUCUCGUUUUCAAUUUCUACCAUUGUUAUUUCAUCUAAUGUUUACCCUGGUUCUAGGAUAAUUCCGGGAAAAAAGUGGAGACAAAAAAGAAAAGUGGUAUCUAUAGUGGUGUUAAGAUUGUACACAUUUUUAUUUGAUUUGAAAAAAUUUAUUUUAUAUCUGGUAUCUUUUACCUUUAUUUCUAGACAUUAGCAAAAAGAAAGAAAAAGCAUGAGCUUUCUGUUUACCGCCGGUUGUUACCGAAAUUCACAACCACCACCAUCAUCACCGCAACCUGCAAUAGCCCCAACAACGCAUUACUAGAUCGAUUAUGGCACCACGGACGCCUGAUAUACUGCCCGAGGGGGUUGAGGAACCAUUUGAGGGGCCACUGCUAGAUGGCAUACCGCCACCCUUAAACGCUUUCUUCGCCCCCUUCCAUGAAGGGCAGUGUUUUUUCGGUUGUUUGUACGUACGGGGUGUGG